GGGGGGUGGUCAUGGUACUGUACGUCGUGCUGACGUAGAUGAUGUUACUGAUCUGUUUUGGAAGCAUCAGAUGAAGCAGCUGACAUCAGCGCGGGUGUUUGUUGCGGUUUUAUCUGCAUGAAUAAGGACUUGCUCGAGCUGCACAUGCUGCUGUUGGAAUUGGAGGCUGUGGAGAAACAGAUCCACGACCUAUUUGACCAGCAGGCCAAGCUGUACAAGCGAAGAACCGUGCUAGAAACAUCUCGUACUAUCGCCUACAAAUCCACGGUAAGCACGUGGCGUGGUACUACCACUCCCAGCCCCUCUAGGCCGUGUUUUUCUCUGUGCGGGGACCGUGCACAAGGACUUAUCCACAGUACCUAAGUGAACUUUUGGUCUUCUAUGAUCUGCCACGCCUACUUCGAUCAAAAGGUGCAGGCUACAGCAGGGGGAAGAGCUUUCUCUUACAAAGCCCCACAGUUAUGGAACAGUCUUCCAAUUAGUGUUCGGGAUUCUGAUUUGGGGUUUAAGUCCAGGCUGAAAACAUAUUUGUUUAAUCAAGCUUACGAUGAGGAGACUUUAUUUCACGCAAAGUACACAGUCAUAUCCAUCGCACCUAAUAAUCUCUCCCUUUCUCCUUCUGUCGAGCCACACAUGAUUUUCUGGAGAUGCCAGUGAUCCUGACCGCUCUCCAGACCUACCUGGUCCAUGCUGAUGCCCUACAUCUGGAUGGAGCUCUCAUCAACUGGAGGCCAUGGAGGAUGACAGGACUAUGGUUGCUGCUAUGGCCUUAGGACUGCAAUUACCACAUAUAAUUUUGCACUCAAGUGUCCUUUACUUUUACACUAUGUGGUGUUACCCAGAUGAGGAUGGGUUCCUUCCUGUCUGGUUCGAGACAGUGUCCAUUGGUAAAAGUGCUCUACAAAUAAAAUGGAUUUUUUUU